rnacentral:lncRNA from 1 species
AGUAAAACAAAUCUUUGAUACCUCUCUCUUCUUCUUCCACGCAGCUUACACCAAACUCUAACCUGCUAAACUUUCUCCAGCUCAGAUCUUCUCUUUCGUUCGCAACUAAGGUACAUACUGCUGGGCAUAUGCUACAUGACUAACGUGGAGGUCAUAUCAGAACACGAAAUUAUCGACUAUGACUGGACGUUUAACUUUUAGCAAGUUGUAUAACAUAAGUCUACUAUCUUAUCAUGAAGAACGACGAUGUGGACACAUAUGCAAAUUAUUUAUACAAUAACAACAACAACCAUACCCAGUAAAUCCCACAAAUAGCAAAGCUACUUAUAGGGUCUGGGAGGGUGAGAUGUAGACAGACCUUGCCUCCAUCCCUAGGGAUAGAGAGGUUGCUUCCAGAGAGACCCCGGCUCCAAAACAAAUAACAUACCAACACACCAAGUCAAAUAAUAUUGAAAUAAGGAGUCACCAAUACCAAAAAAGUGAUCAAAGAGUGACACAAUAUAAUGUAAAACAUGUAUAAUAGCAUACAACAUCAUAUGGUAUAAACACAAGAAGGCAAUCACAUGUAAAGUCACUUAGAGGAUAAGAAAAAUGUACGUCCCUAAAUAUACCUAAGGCAAUCACCUGUAAAGUCCGGAAGCGAAGGAUAGCGGUUUAAAAAAGUUCCUAACGCAUGUUGACUACUAUAACAAGUAUUCAAAGGUUAUUGAGCAUUUGUCGGAAAAGAAAUGUUCCCUAAGGAUGCUACGUGGUACCCCGCCAUAUGUAAGGAAGUUGA